rnacentral:rRNA from 1 species
AAUCUUCCACAAUGGGCGAAAGCCUGAUGGAGCUACGCCGCGUGUGUGAAGAAGGUUUUCGGAUCGUAAAACUCUGUUGAAAGGGAAGAACAAGUACAGUAGUAACUGGCUGUACCUUGACGGUACCUUAUUAGAAAGCCACGGCUAACUACGUGCACGCAGCCGCGGGAAUACGUAGGUGGCAAGCGAUGUCCGGAAUUAUUGUGCGUAAAGCGCGCGCAGGCGGCCCUUUAAGUCUGAUGUGAAAGCCCACGGCUCAACCGUGGAGGGUCAUUGGAAACUGGGGGACUUGAGUGCAGAAGAGGAAAGUGGAAUUCCAAGUGUAGCGGUGAAAUGCGUAGAGAUUUGGAGGAACACCAGUGGCGAAGGCGACUUUCUGGUCUGUAACUGACGCUGAGGGGCGAGAGCGUGGGGAGCAAACAGG